ACCUGGCUGCCUCAGUGAGUAGAGUACACAACUCUUAAUCUUGGGAUCAUGAGUUCAAGCCCCAUGCCAGGUA
rnacentral:tRNA from 1 species